UACGGGGGGGGCAAGCGUUGUUCGGAAUUACUGGGCGUAAAGGGCUCGUAGGCGGCCAACUAAGUCAGACGUGAAAUCCCUCGGCUUAACCGGGGAACUGCAUCUGAUACUGGAUGGCUUGAGUUUGGGAGAGGGAUGCGGAAUUCCAGGUGUAGCGGUGAAAUGCGUAGAUAUCUGGAGGAACACCGGUGGCGAAGGCGGCAUCCUGGACCGGCAUUGACGCUGAGGAGCGAAAGCUAGGGGAGCAAACGGG
rnacentral:rRNA from 1 species